rnacentral:misc_RNA from 1 species
GAUGAAGAACGUAGCGAAAUGCGAUACUUGGUGUGAAUUGCAGAAUCCCGUGAACCAUCGAGUCUUUGAACGCAAGUUGCGCCCGAAGCCACUAGGCCGAGGGCACGCCUGCCUGGGCGUCACACGCCGUUGCCCCCCCAUCUACUCCUUCGGGAUUGCGGGGGGGCGGAUGAUGGCCUCCCGUGCGCCUAGCCGCGCGGUUGGCAUAAAUACCAAGUCCUCGGCGACGCACGCCACGACAAUCGGUGGUUGCGAAACCUCGGUUGCCCGUCGUGUGCGUUCGUCGCGCAUCGAUGGCUCGAAAAAAUGCUCGGCUCCGGCUGGGCUUUCAACGCGACCCCAGGUCAGGCGGGGUUACCCGCUGAAUUUAAGCAUAUCAAUAAGCGGAGGA